rnacentral:rRNA from 1 species
UGAUUCUAGAGUUUGAUUCUGGCUCCGAAUAAACGCUAUUUAUUUGCUUAACACAUGCAAGUCGAACGGUUUUUGAUCUUAAAAAACAGUGGCGUACGGGUGAGUAAUAUAAAGGAAUUUACCCUAUAGUCUAGUUUAGACAAUUAUUCAAAGAAUAAUUUAGAUACUAGAUAAUAUAAAAAGAUUUAUCGCUAUAGGAUAAGCCUUUAUAAGAUUAGGUAGUUGGUAAGGUAAUUGCUUACCAAGCCGAUGAUCUUUAACUGGUCUGAGAGGACGGUCAGUCACAUUAAAACUGAGAAAGGUUUAAACUCUUACGAGAGGCAGCAGUGAGGAAUAUUGAACAAUGAGCGCAAGCUUGAUUCAGCAAUAUAAAGUGAGUGAUGAAUGCUAUCUUUGGUUGUAAAGCUCUUUUAUCGAGGAAAAUUAUGAUUUUACCCGAAGAAAAAACCCUGGCUAACUCCGUGCCAGCAGCCGCGGUUAUACGGGGAGGGUUAGUGUUAUUCGAAAUUACUGGGCGUAAAGCGUGUGUAGACGGUUGUUGUCGUUAAAGAUUAAAUCUUAAUAUUGAAUAUUAAGUUAUUUUUAGUACAAAUAACUCGAGUGUUAUAGAAGAUAAUAGAAUUUCAAGUGGAGAAAUAAAAUUCGUAGAUUUUUGAAGGAAUAUCGAAAGCGAAGGCAGUUAUCUAUGUAACAACUGACGUUAAUGCACGAAAGUGUGGGUAGCAACCGGGAUUAGAUACCCCGUUAGUCCAUACCGUAAACAAUGAGUACUCAUUCUUGGAUUUUUUUUCAGGGAUUUAGCUAACGCGUUAAGUACUCCGCCUGAGAAGUAUGCUGGCAACAGUGAAACUCAAAGAAAUUGACGGGAAUUUAUACAAUUGGUGGAAUAUGUAGUUUAAUUCGUAAAUACACGCAAAACCUUACCAACUCUUGAAUAUUUUUUUUAAAAUACAGGCGUUGCAUGGCUGUCGUCAGCUCGUGUUUUGAGAUGUUAGGUUCAGUCCAUUAACGAGCGAAACCCUUAGUCUUGUUACAAAUAAUGUUAGAUGCCAUUUAUUAUGGACAAAAACAUUUUGAACUCAAGAAUUAUUGUCUUUUAUACAAAGAAUGAAAAAAGGAUGACGUCAAGUCCUCAUGACCCUUAUGAGUUGGGCUACUUAUGUAUUACAAUGGCAGUAACAAUAAGUUGCAAUAAUGAAAAUUGAAGCUAAUCUUUGAAAAAUUGCCUUAGUUCGGAUUGUUUUCUGCAACUCGAAAACAUGAAGGUGGAAUCAAUAGUAAUCGCUUAUCAGUAGGGAGCGGUGAAUUUGUACCUAAAUUUUGCACAUACCGCCCGUCACAUCUUGAAAGCAGUUUGUUUUUGAAGUAGUAACAAAUCUUUACAUUUUUAAUAUUUUUUAUGCAAUGUUGCUUAUUUUUUAGUAAAUGUGAGAUAAAUUAUUGUUAAAACACAAAUUAUGAUUGAGAUGAAGUCGUAACAAGGUAACGGUAGAGGAAUCUGCUGUUGGAAAAUUUCCUUU